UCACCUCUCCCCGCGUGCGAGGAGAGGUCGAAUUCGAGCUUUGCUCGAAUUCGGGUGAGGGG
rnacentral:sRNA from 2 species